GCCUGGGUGGCUCAGUGGUUGAGCAACUGCCUUUGGCUCAGGGUGUGAUCCUGGGGUCCUGGGAUCGAGUCCCACCUCAGGCU
rnacentral:tRNA from 1 species